GCGCCCGUAGCUCAGCAGGAUAGAGCAGCAGUUUCCUAAACUGUUGGUCGGGGGUUCGAGUCCCUCCGGGCGCG
rfam:Symbiobacterium thermophilum IAM 14863 DNA, complete genome.